rnacentral:lncRNA from 1 species
AAAAUGGAAUUUUCAUAAUUUUACGGACUUGGCGUAAUUGUUAUAUUAUAUAUAUAGAGAGAGAGAGAGUCCGACUACUAUACUCUUAUGGGUACAAUCGCCCUCGUACUUAUAAUUUGUUUUCGAUGAUAGAACUUCAGAAUCGACGAUCCAUACCGUUAAACGUUAUCUAGAGCAUUUAAAACGUCUAGAUAUCAAAUUUUAUAAUUUUUCGACAUCAUUUACCUUACGAUCAAAAGGUCACAAAAUUGAUAAUUUUUAACAGCCGGUCUGGGAUAUUUGCUAGUUUAACGGUGUAAAAGAAUCGAAAUCGGUUGAAUUUUUGAUAGAAAUUUCUAUUCACUACAUAGAUAAAGAUCAAUAUAUAACUCUGAUCUUAAAUUGAAGGAUCCGAACAUCGUUCGAUUUUGACCGUUCAUUUUAUACCCGCUUGAUGAACUUUAUUAUGAUUUCGAAAAAUUACGAAAUUUAUUUUCUAAAAGUUUCAAAUAUUCUAAAUCAUAUUUAACGGAGUAGAUCGUUGAUUCGGAAGUUUCAUCAUUGAAAAUAACUUAUCAGUACGAAAUGCUCUAUACUCAUAAUUAAGAGUAUAGUAGCCCUAGCCUAUAUAUAUAUAGAGAGAGAGAGAGAGUCCGGCUACUAUACUCCUUAUGAGUAUAGAUUUCUUUACACCUAUAAGUUUUCGGUCGCUAAAUUUACCUCUUUGAUUAUUUUCAUCUGUUAGAUCAUACUAUUCAAUCAAUCGCCUACUCAACCCUAGGGGACCAUUAUUAUCCUAAUUGGAGACCACUAUCAUCCUAAUCGCAUAUCUCUUCACCCAACAGCUGAAAAUUUAUGAGUAUAAAGAGGUCUAUACUCAUAAGAGUAUAGUAGCACUAGCAUAUAUAUAUAUAUAUAUA